CCUUCUCCUUCUCUUGUAUCAGCCAAGAAGUAAUUAGUGAGGAUAAUGGAGCUGAACUCUUUGGAGCUUGCUCGAUCAAAGGGGACCAGCUGAGAAAGCUUUGGGUAUUUAGGUAAUAGAUUGGUCCUCAGCUCAAGUUGGGUGGUGGAGUUGAUGCUGUGGAGAAGUUUAUGUGUUGUGAGCUGAAAAGAAAGUUGUGGAAGCUGAGUAUCAGCUGUGGAACCUUGAAAUUAAGGAAAUUGCAGUUUGGUGAAUUGGGCAGCAGAAUUGGAGAAAGUUCCUGCUGUGGCAGUAGCCGAACAGGAAGCUUGGGCUAUUCGAAUUGAGAGAAAGAGCGAGAUUUGGUGAGAUAUCUAAGACAAGGAGCUAUCUAGUAGGAGAAUUGGGCCUUUUGAAUUGAGAGUGAUCUAGAGAAUUAUCAAAUAAAGUGGACAGAUCAAGCUGUGUUGAGCUGUUGGGAUUGCCAAAGUGGAGACCCAAUUGUGAAGCUGUUGCGGCUUCAGGAAUUGCUGGGCAUCCAGAUUCAAAGAGGGAGUGAAGGUUGACAGCUUGCUAAUUAAUUGAGCAGGAGGAGCUCAAAAUUGAGGUCGGCGACGCGUUAAUCAGGAUAGUAGCCAUUUUGGGCUCUAUUUGCAUCGAGUUGCGAGAGCUAGUUAUCGACGCGUUCCGAGACGUGGAUUUUAAUUGUUGACACCACUACAGGUUCCAGUGCGAGCGGUGUGGCCGAGGAUCGUGGUAAGAGCCCCGCAGCCUAGCUAGCUGACACCAGAGUAUAGUAGUUUACCAUUUUGAGUUCAUGUGAGACAUGUAAUGAAUGUAUUAUAAAGCAUGUAAAUCACGAAAUAUUUCAGUUAUACAGUUCUGUUUGAAAGUUUUAAGUUACAAUGAAUUUUAUGUUUAGUUAACUUACUAUCACUUGUGAUUGUUGCUUGCCCUCGUGCAAGCCAUGUA